GACGAACGCUGGCGGCGUGCUUAACACAUGCAAGUCGAACGGAAAGGCGCUGCUCUUGUGGGGUGCUCGAGUGGCGAACGGGGGAGUAACACGUGAGUAACAUGCCCUUGACUUAGGGAUAAAAUCAGGAAACAGGGGCUAUUACCGGAUAGGAGCUCCUGAUGCACGGGGGGGGUUGGAAAGAUACGGCGGUUGGGGAUGGUAUCGAGGCUUAUGCGCUUGUUGGUGGAGUAGUGGCUGACAAAGGCUGUGACGGGUAGCCGGCCUGAGAGGGUGACCGGGCACCUGGGGCCUGAGAUAGGGCCCAGAAUCGUACGUGACGCAGCAGUCGGGAGUAUGACACAACGGGCGGAAGCCUGUUACAGCAACGCCGGGUGCGGGAUGCUGGCCUUCGAGGGGUAAACCGCUGUGGCAUGUGACGAAGCGGGAGUGACGGUAACUGGUAAAGAAGCACCGGCUAACUACGUG
rnacentral:rRNA from 1 species